rnacentral:rRNA from 1 species
UACGUAGGGGCAAGCGUUGUCCGGAUUCAUUGGGCGUAAGGGUGCGUAGGCGGCGCGGUAAGUCGGGUGUGAAUCUCGGGAGCUUAACUCCGAAACUGCAUUCGAUACUGACCGUGCUUGAGGACUGGAGAGGAGACUGGAAUUUACGGUGUAGCGGUGAAAUGCGUAGAUAUCGUAAGGAAGACCAGUGGCGAAGGCGGGUCUCUGGA